rnacentral:misc_RNA from 1 species
CAACCCUCAAGCUCUGCUUGGUAUUGGGUGUCACCCCCGGGUGCGCCUUAAAAUCAGUGGCGGUGCCGUCUGGCUUCAAGCGUAGUAAUACUUCUCGCUUUGGAGUCCGGGCGAGCGUCCUGCCAAAACCCCCAUAUUUUUUCA